UUAUUCGUUGUUUUGUUAGCAGCAUGUGCUUAUAUCGCUCUUACAAUUUUCUGAUUUUUUGAUCGAAAAAGUGUUUUUUCUGUUCAGUAUUUGAGUGUAUUCUGUUCCUUAAGACCUGGUUGACUUCCUGAAGAUCAGCAAUAUUAAUAAUACACCAUAAACACACCAUAAACAGAUGAAGCCUCAAGAUCACUCAAAAGAAGAUAAGACAUGGAUCACUCCCUAUAUAAUCCUGUGUUUGGUCAUCAUUCUGGUUUUCGGGAUUGCUCUUCAAAUAUCUGAUUAAAAAUUUUUAUUUUUUAAGAAGAAACAUAGAUCACUCCCUUUAUAAUCCUGAUGUUUUGGCCCUCAUUCUGGUUUAAAUAUCUGAUUAAAAUAACUAUUUUGUACAAUAAAUGGAUAGAUGGAUACAGUUCCAGGGCAGUACAUAUCAUAUUCUAUGUUGAUCUUGAUGAAUAUCAUCAAUGCAUCGGGAUUGACAAGAGUAUAUCUAAAAUGUUAUUUAUUUGGGUUAAAUUUAAUUUAAGUGAUUUAUUAUAAUGAUUAUAAAUUAUAAGUUUAUAAUGAUCAUUAUCAGUGGAUUUCAUGAUUUUUAAAUUUCAUGGACCUCUGAGUUAAAUUUUUAUGGUUCCUUUAUUAUCAGAGACAAAUUCAGACUAGGUACUUAUUUUUAAUUUGAGCCAAUUUUAAAAGCCAAAAAUUACUUUGGGCCACUUCUUAUUCUUUUUGGGAGAAUACCUCUUACCUUAAACUUCAAUUCAUAUUCUAUACUAUAUUCUAUUGACUGCAUUUCUAUAGGUUUUAUUUGUUUGGUAAAGUAUACCCUCCACUGAGAGAGAGAAUUUUGCUUCUUUUUGUUUAUGGUUAACUAUCAGUUUUCUGCAGUAGCUUGACUCCCAUAUUUUCUUUAUGGAAAUAAUAUCAUUAUUCAUCGAUUCUAUAAAAUAUUUCAUUAGUUUUAUUUAAGUCUUCUUUUACCUGUAUUAUUUUUCUUAAUGGUAUUUAAUACUUUUUUGCUUGUGGAAUUCCUUGAAUCGAAUUUCAAUUUUUAUGGAUUCAUUUCCAUGCCAUUUUUUUCAGAUCAUAUGCUAUGAGUUUCUGUAUUUUUCCUUGAUUUUGUGUUUGUUCAAAUAUAAUUUAAAUACAUUUAAAAAUCUUAAAAUAAGGUCUAAUUUCUGAUCAAUUCCUGGCGCAUUCGCCAUUUAUUAAAAAAAUUGACAUCCACAGGGUGUCACUUAUGUCUUUCCAUGCACUUUAUUUCUAAUUAACUUUCCUGAGUAACAUCGACUCCCGAGCAUCAUAACUAGCCUCCCCUAAGAAGAGGAGACCCGGGUCACCCCCUAACCCUGAUGUUCGGCCAU